rnacentral:tRNA from 1 species
AAAUAAGAAGCAAAUUUAUGCAUUCAGUUUCGACCUGACAUUUGAUGAUUCCAUCCUUAUUUA